UUGCUGCUUUGCUGACGAGUGGCUGACGGGUGAGUAAUGUCUGGGAAACUGCCUGAUGGAGGGGGAUAACUACUGGAAACGGUAGCUAAUACCGCAUAACGUCGCAAGACCAAAGAGGGGGACCUUAGGGCCUCUUGCCAUCGGAUGUGCCCAGAUGGGAUUAGCUAGUAGGUGGGGUAACGGCUCACCUAGGCGACGAUCCCUAGCUGGUCUGAGAGGAUGACCAGCCACACUGGAACUGAGACACGGUCCAGACUCCUACGGGAGGCAGCAGUGGGGAAUAUUGCACAAUGGGCGCAAGCCUGAUGCAGCCAUGCCGCGUGUAUGAAGAAGGCCUUCGGGUUGUAAAGUACUUUCAGCGGGGAGGAAGGGAGUAAAGUUAAUACCUUUGCUCAUUGACGUUACCCGCAGAAGAAGCACCGGCUAACUCCGUGCCAGCAGCCGCGGUAAUACGGAGGGUGCAAGCGUUAAUCGGAAUUACUGGGCGUAAAGCGCACGCAGGCGGUUUGGUUAGUCAGAUGUGAAAUCCCCGGGCUCAACCUGG
rnacentral:rRNA from 1 species